AGCCACAGACAUAUGACCCUGCAGCCCAAGGCUUGUUUUUUUCUCUGAAGCUAAGCAGGGCUUAGUCUGGAUAGUACCUGGAUUGGAGACCACAUGGGAAAAUCAGAGCUGUAUCCC
rnacentral:rRNA from 1 species